UACGUAGGCAGCGAGCGUUGUUCGGAGUUACUGGGCGUAAAGGGUGUGUAGGCGGUUUUCUAAGUUUGGUGUGAAAUCUCCCGGCUCAACCGGGAGGGUGCGCCGAAAACUGGGAGACUAGAGUGCGGGAUGGGAGAGUAGAAUUCCUGGUGUAGCGGUGAAAUGCGUAGAGAUCGGGAGGAACACCAGAGGCGAAGGCGGCGGCCUGGACAAGAACUGACACUAAACUACGAAAGCGUGGGGAGCAAACAGG
rnacentral:rRNA from 1 species